rnacentral:rRNA from 1 species
GAUGAACGCUGGCGGCGUGCUUAAUACAUGCAAGUCGAGCGAACGGACGAGAAGCUUGCUUCUCUGAUGUUAGCGGCGGACGGGUGAGUAACACGUGGAUAACCUACCUAUAAGACUGGGAUAACUUCGGGAAACCGGAGCUAACACCGGAUAAUAUUUUGAACCGCAUGGUUCAAAAGUGAAAGACGGUCUUGCUGUCACUUAUAGAUGGAUCCGCGCUGCAUUAGCUAGUUGGUAAGUUAACGGCUUACCAAGGCAACGAUGCAUAGCCGACCUGUGAGGGGGAUCGGCCACACUAGAGCUGAGACGCGGUCCAGACUCCUACGGGAGGCAGCAGAAGGGAAUCUUCCGCAAUGGGCGGAAGCCUGGCAGAGCAGCGCGGCGUGAGUGAUAGAGGUCUUCGGAUCGUAAAACUCUGUUAUUAGUGGAAAACAUAUGUGGAAGUAGCUGUGCACAUCGUGACGGUACCGAAUCAGAAAGCCACGGCUAACUACGUG